AACGAACGCUGGCGGCAGGCUUAACACAUGCAAGUCGAGCGCCCCGCAAGGGGAGCGGCAGACGGGUGAGUAACGCGUGGGAAUCUACCCAUCUCUACGGAAUAACGCAUGGAAACGUGUGCUAAUACCGUAUACGUCCUUCGGGAGAAAGAUUUAUCGGAGAUGGAUGAGCCCGCGUUGGAUUAGCUAGUUGGUGGGGUAAAGGCCUACCAAGGCGACGAUCCAUAGCUGGUCGGAGAGGAUGAUCAGCCACACUGGGACUGAGACACGGCCCAGACUCAUCAGGGAGGCAGCUGUGGGGAAUAUUGGACAAUGGGCGCAAGCCUGGUCCGGCCAUGCCGUGUGAGUGAUGAAGGCCCUAGGGUUGUAAGGCUCUUUCACCGGUGAAGAUAAUGACGGUAACCGGAGAAGAAGCCCCGGCUAACUUCGUGCCAGCCGCCGCCGUAACAC
rnacentral:rRNA from 1 species